ensembl:lncRNA
UGUGUGUGUGUGUAUAUAUAUAUAUAUAUAUAUAUAUUGAUCAUUUAAUAUAGAGAUAUUUUAAUAUAUAUUUAAAUUUUGAAUUUCCUGAUCAUUUUUCUUAUUUUUUGUUUUGUUUAUUUGAAAAUAUAAAACAAAAAUUUCGGUAGAAUAAACCUACGAAAGGCAUAACCUAUAGUUUAAUAGUAGGACAUGCUGAGAAAACAUAUUUUGAAAAUAAUUAAAUAAAAAUAAAGAUUUUUCAUUAACAUUAGCAUUAUUGAUGGCAUGUUUCAUAGAUGAUAUUUUAGAAAUGUUGAGCUUUAAUUAUAAUUCAUUAUAUACUGCCAUGGCUUUUAAAAAGUACAGUCCUACUUCUGUUCCUUUUAUGUAAAAAGUGUUCAGAAGCUCUUUUUCCAUUAUUGACUGAUCAACAAGAGCCUGCUGCUUCCUUGACAUCAGUGAAAGGCAUACAUAAUUGGAAAAUAUUUUCAUCUUCAGGCUUUUCAGGUCUUCUCAAACAGUUGUUUUUCUCAUUCAGGUUGCGUCUGUGGAGCGACUGGUGGAGCGUGUGGAGGUCGAUUACUCAGACGACCCCUGGAGGAUCACAGAGGAGCAGCGUGAAUACUAUACCAUCCAGUUCAGGAGUCUCCAGCCUGACCUCAGCGCUCUCAUCAUGGGAACUGUUGCAAAAAACUUCUUCACCAAGUCGAAGCUUCCGAUUCUAGAGCUGUCUCAUAUAUGGGAGCUGAGCGAUGUCGACAAGGAUGGCGCUCUCACUUNAGGUAUGAGAUGCCUACAGUAUUUGCACCUGAAGUAUUUAAUGAUUUCUAGUUUAAAAGUGUCCAGUGGUUCUUAUUCAGUAUCAUGUUUUGCAGUUAUGAGAAAGUUCAGAUUGACAAUUAUGAACUGAGCUCUAAAUGCAAUUGUUUUACAGGCAACUCAAGCUCUUAUUGUCUUUUAUGACAAUAUGAUGCCUGGAGCCAAUCAGCUCAUUAUGCCAAGAUCACAAUGUUCUGAACAUUUCCUUCUGUCUUUUUCAUAUCUCUCUCCUUCUCUCUCUCUUUUGAUUGGCAUGGUGAUGAUCUGCACACAGUAUUGCCAAAGCAUCAAAACAAAUACACAAAUACAAAACAAAUAUA